GAGCGUAUAGCUCAGUGGUAGGGCAUAUUCUUGGCAUGCAUGAGGUCCUGGGUUCAAUCCCCAGUGCCUCG
rnacentral:tRNA from 1 species